AACGAACGCUGGCGGCAUGCCUAACACAUGCGAGUCGAACGAGACCUUCGGGUCUAGUGGCGCACGGGUGCGUAACGCGUGGGAACCUGCCCUUAGGUUCGGAAUAACUCCCCGAAAGGGGUGCUAAUACCGGAUAAUGUCUUCGGACCAAAGAUUUAUCGCCUUUGGAUGGGCCCGCGUUGGAUUAGCUAGUUGGUAGGGUAAAAGCCUACCAAGGCGACGAUCCAUAGCUGGUCUGAGAGGAUGAUCAGCCACACUGGGACUGAGACACGGCCCAGACUCCUACGGGAGGCAGCAGUGGGGAAUAUUGGACAAUGGGCGAAAGCCUGAUCCAGCAAUGCCGCAUGAGUGAUGAAGGCCUUAGGGUUGUAAAGCUCUUUUACCCGGGAUGAUAAUGACAGUACCGGGAGAAUAAGCUCCGGCUAACUCCGUG
rnacentral:rRNA from 1 species